UGCAGUCGAGCGGUAGAGAGAAGCUUGCUUCUCUUGAGAGCGGCGGACGGGUGAGUAAUGCCUAGGAAUCUGCCUGGUAGUGGGGGAUAACGUUCGGAAACGAACGCUAAUACCGCAUACGUCCUACGGGAGAAAGCAGGGGACCUUCGGGCCUUGCGCUAUCAGAUGAGCCUAGGUCGGAUUAGCUAGUUGGUGGGGUAAUGGCUCACCAAGGCGACGAUCCGUAACUGGUCUGAGAGGAUGAUCAGUCACACUGGAACUGAGACACGGUCCAGACUCCUACGGGAGGCAGCAGUGGGGAAUAUUGGACAAUGGGCGAAAGCCUGAUCCAGCCAUGCCGCGUGUGUGAAGAAGGUCUUCGGAUUGUAAAGCACUUUAAGUUGGGAGGAAGGGCCAUUACCUAAUACGUGAUGGUUUUGACGUUACCGACAGAAUAAGCACCGGCUAACUCUGUGCCAGCAGCCGCGGUAAUACAGAGGGUGCAAGCGUUAAUCGGAAUUACUGGGCGUAAAGCGCGCGUAGGUGGUUUGUUAAGUUGGAUGUGAAAUCCCCGGGCUCAACCUGGGAACUGCAUUCAAAACUGACUGACUAGAGUAUGGUAGAGGGUGGUGGAAUUUCCUGUGUAGCGGUGAAAUGCGUAGAUAUAGGAAGGAACACCAGUGGCGAAGGCGACCACCUGGACUGAUACUGACACUGAGGUG
rnacentral:rRNA from 1 species